AUCCAGCUAAAGAGUCCAUAAUAAGACGAAACACGCGUCCUGGAU
rnacentral:hammerhead_ribozyme from 1 species